UAACCGCACAAGUCCCGCCUUCACUCCGGGUCCUAGGGGGUCGGAGUAGGUCCAGCAUGAGUGACCACCAGGGGCUGUGGGAUCUGAAACUUUUCCUUCUCUACUGCUUGUUCUCCCUUCCUCCAUCCCUCACCCGGAAGCGGGAAGCAGCUUUCUCUUCCCAGCUUCCAUCCAGUCUCUGAGUAGACCGGUCGCAGCUUAGAUACUGGGAUCGCCUCAGAACACAUUUAUUUGCCCUUCACGGCCACUACCGGUAUUGGGGUAUGCGAGUCUCAGGGCCAUUCGUUGCUCACAGGUCGAGCUGGUCUGGACUCUCUUCGACCACGAAUCAUGGCUCCUUCCUGCCAGUUAUGUCCCCUCCGCACCCUUGCCCAGCCAUUUUACCAGGCCUCUCCACAUUGCGCUGCCCCACGGACCUUAUCAAGCUUGAAGAUCUUUAAGAAGAAAAGUAGAAGAAAUGCAAGAGAACAAAAAAGAUUGUCAGCGAAAGAUAUAUAAUUGCAUUAAGAUGUGACCCUAAUCUUUCCACAGUCAAGCGUGUACUACUAUUUCACAGCAUUUUCCUUUCCAAACUGUGUGCCAAAUAAAUCGGGGUCUCCAACCCCAGGGCCGUGAACUGGUACCGGUCUGUGGCUUGUUAGGAAUGGAGCAGCACAGGAUGAAGUGAGUGGUGGAGAUGGGGUUUCACUAUGUUGCUCAGGCUGGUCUUGAACUUUUGGGCUCAAGCAAUCCUCCUGCCUUGGCCUCGCAAAGUGCUGGGAUUAUAGGCAUGUGCCACCAUGCCCCUAAAGGUGACAUCAAGAGAGAUCUGUCAAGUGGAAGACGUUCUGUAUUGCUCCAGGCAGCAUAACUACCAGCAAUGGAAGGAAAUAAAGGGAAACAGAUUUCAGCUCAGCAGGAGGCAGAACUUUCUAACAUUUAGAGCUGUCCAACAGUGGAGCAGGCUGCAUUACUUGAGGGAGUGAGCUCCCUGAAAUUUGAACUGUUGAACAAGAAGAUGACCAUCUGGCUGAAUGUACAAGAGGGAAUUCCUGCCUUGGCAGCAGUUGCACUAGUGACCUUUAAGCAGGUAUCUUCCAAUUCUAACUGUUCAACUCAGCUAACUUGACCUCUGAAUAUAUGAGUUAUGCUGUUAAAAAAAUUAUUAGACAGUUCAUCUAUUGACUUACCUAAAAUAACUGCAUGGUGAAGUUUAUGAUAAGUAAGAUUUUAGAAACUGAGAAGUGGGAAAGCAGGUUUUACACUGAAAAUCCAGAUACCAUCCAAACCAAUUAAUGGCACUUUGAACAAAAGGGAAGGGA